rnacentral:lncRNA from 1 species
UUUUUUUUUUUUUUUUUUGCUUGCUUGCUUUUACUAUACAGUUUAAAUUCAGUUAUUUGGCCAAAAUGGUCUUUGCAAAAAGCAGUUAAAACACAUUACUUGUUAAUUAGUUCUGUGUUCACAGACCAAUGUUUAGUCUCCACAAAUGGGGAAGAUAUUCCUGAAGGAUUGUUUAACAGAUGAGCUAUUUAGAGAGGUCAAAGGACUUAUUUAUCACCUCUAAUUUAUGUCUUCUCUACAACCAAUCAAGAUGGAAGUUUUAAGUGAUGGUGCUAUUUGUUUUUUGUUUACAGAAUAGGAUGUAACUUAGUGAAAAAUGUAUUCCAUGUCUUAGCAUUAUCUGUUAUUUGGUAGUUUUAAAGAAUAAGAUAUUAAGAAAAAUCUAUUUGGCUCACCAUUCUGAUACCAAGGAUAACUCUUGGAAAAAAUAACUCUGAAACAGAAACUAAUGAGGGGGAAAGGCACUGAAUAAUCUUUUUAAAAAAAUGUCUUUGAAAAGUGAAUCCAUAUAACACCUUCUUAAUCAUUAACUUGGGCAAAAGCUCUAGAUGCAUUUGUACCAGUUAAUGCAAGUGAUUUUCUCUUCUUCAUUUUUAAAACAAAGUCCACCCUACAAGUUUGAAUAGUAAGAGAGUUGUAGGAGGAAUUUAUGUACUCUCUUGCCCAAAGUAAAUGGUAAUCCUUCUGCUCUUGAGCUCUAGUUUAUGUAUNNNNNNNNNNNUGUGAUCAUGUAGUAUAAUCAUAUUUAUAAUACACUAAUUGUUUUUACAUGGCAUUUUUAUUCUGAUUUUAAAAAUAAAUAUUCAUUGUAGAAUAUUUGAAAAUUCAACAUAUAAAAAAAUGUUACUACUGUUACAUACUUUUUUAAUAAGCUUGAAGAUAUUACUUUAAUAAAGUUACCCAAGUAUGAUUCUGUUAAUUUUGUCAAAUGUCUUAAGUCGUAAUUGUUACCCUGAUAUGGAAUAUUCCUGUCACCUAAAAAUGUCCUUUGUUUCCUUUGCAGUCAGUCCCCUGCUCCCACUUUCACCCAUUGGCAACCAUUGAUCUGCUUUUGGUCACUAGAAAAUUCAAAAGUUUUGCCUUUUCUAGAAUUUCAAAUAAAUGGAACAACAUAUAGUCUUCUGUGUUCGG